rnacentral:rRNA from 1 species
AGUUAAGUGACUAAGCGUACACGGUGGAUGCCUAGGCAAUCAGAGGCGAAGAAGGACGUGCUAAUCUGCGAAAAGCUUGGAUGAGUUGAUAAGAAGCGUUUAAUCCAAGAUAUCCGAAUGGGGAAACC